rnacentral:rRNA from 1 species
GCGUGCGGGAAGAAGGCCUUCGGGUUGUAAACCGCUUUUGUCAGGGAAGAAAAGUCUGGAGCUAAUAUCUCCGGAUGAUGACGGUACCUGAAGAAUAAGCACCGGCUAACUACGUGCCAGCAGCCGCGGUAAUACGUAGGGUGCAAGCGUUAAUCGGAAUUACUGGGCGUAAAGCGUGCGCAGGCGGUUCUAUAAGACAGAUGUGAAAUCCCCGGGCUCAACCUGGGAACUGCAUUUGUGACUGUAGAGCUGGAGUGCGGCAGAGGGGGAUGGAAUUCCGCGUGUAGCAGUGAAAUGCGU